CCAGAUCUCCGCACCCACUCUUCUCUGUGGGUUCGGGGCUUGAAGAAGGAUAUUUUCAGAUCUAGAAUAGAGGGUUUCAGAUCUGGUAUCGACAAGGUUUAGGGAGAGGAAGAAAAAGGUGAAGACAGGCAAAGGCUGUAGUUUUACAAAAGGCUGUCGGGUCUCUCUCUUGUGCAGUAUUGCUUCAGUUGUUGGAUGCCUCAAUGCCCUAAUUUUCAGGAGAAUGAUCAGAUGAUCUCACAGGAAGGUUUGAGCUCUGAUUUGGUUCAGAUCAGAGGUGUGUAGGGGCCAUGAUGGAGAGCACAAAUAAAUGCUGCGGUUUGAAAGAUGCUGCCAUGGAGUCCUAGUCCAACAAAGACUCCUUAUCAAGAUUUCAGGUCCAGAUCUAAUAGCCCCAAGGUAUCACACCUCAAGCUUUGGUUCUUAGGGUGUUGGGGGUGGA
rnacentral:lncRNA from 1 species